UUUCUUUUGUAGUUCCUAAGUGUGAUGACUGGGUGUUCAUGCAUAUGUGUGGGAUAUGUCACCCUGAACCCUGUUAUGACAUUAGCAUGUAAAGCAUCUGAUA